rnacentral:lncRNA from 1 species
CCAAUGUUCCUGUACCCAAGAAGGUAAAGCCCCAACAGGUUAAGCUUGAGGCCCCAGGUCUCAACCCCGCCCUGUGCGUUUGGGUCCUGGACUCCCUGACGGGCCGCUCCCAGGUGGUGAAGGUAGGAAAACAACAUCUCCACUUCGCUGAUCCUCAACACUGGGGCCCCACAAGGGUGCAUGCUCAGCCCCCUCCUGUACUCCCUGUUCAUGCACACCUCCAAUUUGAUCAUCAAGUUUGCAAACGACACAACAGUAGUAGGCUUGAUCACCAACAACGAUGAGACUAUAGGGAGGAGGUGAGGGCACUCAGAGUGUGGUGUCAGGAAAACAACCUCUCACUUAAUGUCAACAAAACAAAAGAGAUGAUCGAUGACUUCAGGAAACAACAGAGAGAGCACCCCCCUAUCCACAUCGAUGGGACAGCAGUGGAGAAGGUGGAAAGUUUCAAGUUCCUCGGUGUACAUGUCACAGACAAACUGAAAUGGUCCACCCACACAGACAGCGUGGUGAAGAAGGAGCAACAGAGUCUCUUCAACCUCAGGAGGCUGAAGAAAUUUGGCUUGUCACCUAAAACCCUCACAAACUUCUACUUGAGAGCAUCCUGUCGGGCUGUAUCACCGCCUGGUACGGCAACUGCACCGCCCACAACCGCAGGGCUCUCCAGAGGGUGGUGCAGUCUGCACAACGCAUCACCGGGGGCAAACUACCUGACCUCCAGGACAACUACAGCACCCGAUGUCACAGGAAGGCCAAAAAGAUCAUCAAGGACAACAACCACCAACCGCCACUGCCUGUUCAGCCCGCUACCAUCCAGAAGGCGAGGUCAGUACAGGUGCAUCAAAGCUGGGACCGAGAGACAAAAAAAUAGCUUCUAUCUCAAGGCCAUCAGACUGUUAAAUAGCCAUCACUAACACAGAAAGGCUGCUGCCUACAUAUAGUCUUGAAAUCAUCGGCCACUCUAACAAAUGGAUCACUUGUUACUUUAUUAAUGUCACUUUAAUAAUGAUGUUUACAUAUCUUGCACUACUCAUCCCAAAUGUAUAUACUGUAUUUUAUACCAUCUACUGCAUCUCGUCUAUGCCGGUCGGUCAUGACCCAUCCAUAUAUUUAUAUGUACAUAUUCGUAUUCCACCCCUUUUACUUAGAUAUAUGUGUAUUAAGUAGUUGUUGUGGAAUUGUUAGAUUACUUGUUUGAUAUUGCUGCACUGUCGGAACUAUUAGAGGCACAAGCAUUUCGCUACACUCGCAAUAACAUCUGCUUACCAUGUGUAUGUGACCAAUA